CCAGCAGCUGCGGUAAUUCCAGCUCCAAUAGUGUAUAUUAAAGUUGCUGCGGUUAAAAAGCUCGUAGUUGGAUUUCGGACUGCGCUUCGGUCAAAGCUCGCCGCAAGGUGUGGCUGGACUAACGCGUCCUAUCUUCGGAUAGUGAACCUGGCUCGCAAGGGCCGGGAGCUCGCUUCCGAUCAUUUACUUUGAAAAAAUUAGAGUGUUCAAAGCAGGCGUCAAGCCAUUGAAUAUUACAGCAUGGGAUAAUAGAAUAUGACGUUGGUCUUAUUUUGUUGGUUUCUAAGGCUGAUGUAAUGAUUAAUAGGGAUAGUUGGGGUCGCUCGUAUUGAGUUGUCAGAGGUGAAAUUCUAGGAUUUACUCAAGACGAACUAAUGCGAAAGCAUUCGACAAGGAUGUUUUCAUUAAUCAAGAACGAAAGU
rnacentral:rRNA from 1 species